rnacentral:rRNA from 1 species
AUUGAACGCUGGCGGCAUGCCUUACACAUGCAAGUCGAACGGCAGCACGGGUGCUUGCACCUGGUGGCGAGUGGCGAACGGGUGAGUAAUACAUCGGAACGUACCUUAUCGUGGGGGAUAACGCAGCGAAGGUUGCGCUAAUACCGCAUACGCCCUGAGGGGGAAAGCGGGGGACCGUAAGGCCUCGCGCGAUUAGAGCGGCCGAUGUCUGAUUAGCUUGUUGGUGAGGUAAAAGCUCACCAAGGCGAUGAUCAGUAGCUGGUCUGAGAGGACGAUCAGACACACUGGGACUGAGACACGGCCCAGACUCCUACGGGAGGCAGCAGUGGGGAAUUUUGGACAAUGGGGGCAACCCUGAUCCAGCAAUGCCGCGUGAGUGAAGAAGGCCUUCGGGUUGUAAAGCUCUUUUGUCAGGGAAGAAACAGCAGCUCUAACACAGUCUGCGAAUGACGGUACCUGAAGAAUAAGCACCGGCUAACUACGUGCCAGCCGCCGCCGUAA